rnacentral:tRNA from 1 species
GGCUUUGUAGUUUAAUAAAAAUGGGGAAUUGCAAAUUCUCAGAUGCACUUCGGGUGUCAUGGCCU